GAUGAACGCUAGCGGCAGGCUUAAUACAUGCAAGUCGAGGGGCAGCAUGAUUGUAGCAAUACAAUUGUUGACGACCGGCAAACGGGUGCGGAACACGUACACAACCUUCCUACAAGUGGGGAAUAGCCCAGAGAAAUUUGGAUUAAUACCCCGUAACAUAGCGAUGUGGCAUCACAUUGCUAUUAUAGCUUCGGCGCUUGUUGGUGGGUGUGCGGCUGAUUAGAUAGUUGGCGGGGUAACGGCCCACCAAGUCUACGAUCAGUAGCUGAUGUGAGAGCAUGAUCAGCCACACGGGCACUGAGACACGGGCCCGACUCCUACGGGAGGCAGCAGUAAGGAAUAUUGGACAAUGGACGCAAGUCUGAUCCAGCCAUGCCGCGUGAAGGAUUAAGGUCCUCUGGAUUGUAAACUUCUUUUAUAAGGGACGAAAAAAGGUCUUUCUAGAUCGUCUGACGGUACCUUAUGAAUAAGCACCGGCUAACUCCGUGCCAGCAGCCGCUGUAACAC
rnacentral:rRNA from 1 species